GCCUCGUCUACGAAGCUUUAAAAUGGUUUAGAAUGGAUGAAAGCUGUUUCAAAUGCUAUUAUAAAUAUUAGGAAGUUUUUUUUACCAGAAAAUAUUAGGAAGUUUGUGUUGGCUAAUAUGAAUGAAUGUAUUGUUGGACUAAGAUUUUUAGUUUGUAAUGAAUGCAUGCUUGGAUAUGGCUAUUAUUUUGAGUUUGAGGAUGGGCAUGGCAUUCUGAGAAAUGUUGUGCAAUGAAUCUUAUCUCAUAGCAUAUGAUGAGAUAGCAUAUUAAAA
rnacentral:misc_RNA from 1 species